ACCAGGGCUUCGGCCCUGGGGACAGCGGCGAACGGGUGAGUAACACGUGGAUAACCUGCCCUCGGCACCGGAAUAGCCCGAGGAAACUCGGAUUAAUGCCGGAUAGCCCCACAUCCCUGCGGGGAACGUGGGAAAAGGUAGCUUCGGCCUCUGGCCGGGGAUGGGUCCGCGGUGGAUUAGCUUGUUGGCGGGGUAACGGCCCACCAAGGCGACGAUCCAUAGCUGGUCUGAGAGGAUGAUCAGCCACACUGGGACUGAGACACGGCCCAGACUCCUACGGGAGGCAGCAGUGGGGAAUCUUGCGCAAUGGGCGAAAGCCUGACGCAGCGACGCCGCGUGCGGGAAGAAGGCCUUCGGG
rnacentral:rRNA from 1 species